GGGGCUGUGGCUGAAUGGUAGAACAUCGGUUUUACAUGCCGAAGGCCCCAGGUUCAAUCCCCGACAUCUUCA
rnacentral:tRNA from 1 species